AAGUACGAGCGAAGACACUUCUAUUAGAACUCGUUCGGUAGGGACGAGGAAGUGACGUGAGCGGCGGACGGGUGUAGUAACGACGUGGGCGAACCUAGCCUUACUACAGGGGGAGUAACAGUUAGAAAUAGACUGCUAAUACCGCAUAAGACCACAUUGCCGCAUGGCGAGGGUGGUAAAAACUCCGGUGGUGUAAGAUGGGCCCGCGUCUGAUUAGGUAGUUGGCAGGGUAGAGGCCUACCAAGCCUACGAUCAGUAGCCGGCCUGAGAGGGUGGACGGCCACAUUGGGACUGAGACACGGCCCAAACUCCUACGGGAGGCAGCAGUGGGGAAUAUUGCACAAUGGGGGAAACCCUGAUGCAGCGACGCCGCGUGAGUGAGGAAGUAUUUCGGUAUGCAAAGCUCUAUCAGCAGGGAAGAAAAUGACGGUACCUGACUAAGAAGCCCCGGCUAACUACGUG
rnacentral:rRNA from 1 species